UUAAGUCACUAAAUUAGAGACUAAGUUAUAAAAUUGGACUAAAUAAAUUUGAAUAAAUAAAGUUUGGGGUCUAAACGAAAGAAAACAGAAAUUUAAGGGCCUAAUACGAAAAACAGAAGAUUAGGGGCCUAAUCUGAAGUUACAGAAAUUUAGGGACCUAAUACGAAAUUUUCCAGGGACCAAACCGUAAUUUUUCAUCCCUAACCCUAAAACCAACAAGAGAUGGAAACUCCUUUCCGCCGACUCUCUUUAAAGAAACCUAUACUGUUUUGUUUUGUUUUUUUUUUUUUUUUUUUUUUUUUU
rnacentral:lncRNA from 1 species